GUUAUAGUUUAUUUGAUGGUCUUUACUACAUGGAUAACCGUGGUAAUUCUAUGGCUAAUACAUGCGCACAUACCACUUUCUCUGGAAGGGUAGUGUUUAUUAGAUACAGAACCAACAACCCACCUCUUUUGGUGGAUCUUAGGUGAUUCAUAGUAACCGAACGGAUCGCAUUAUGGCCUUUUAGGUCAGGCGAUGGAUCAUUCAAGUUUCUGACCUAUCAGCUAUCGACGGUAGUGUAUUGG
rnacentral:rRNA from 1 species